UUAAAGGAAAUAUGUAUUUUGUGCGUACAACCAACGUGCUGUUCUGUUAAAUGCAAUGUCCCUUUUAAGACAUUCUUAAUAAAAUACACAUAGAAUUGUCGCACGCGACCAUAAGAAAAUAGGAAUUCGGUGCCGUCUAACUUAGUAAUUGGUUAAACUCACUUAAAAAUCGUUAGAUCGUAUGUAUUAAUACCAACAACACAAUGUCACCAGACAACAUCACAUACUAAUUUCCCUUAAUUCUUGAAACUCCAUUUUGGUGAUGUUUUGAAUAGAGGAUGAGAGAGGGGGGGAGGGACCAACCCAAGAUUUCCUCCUUUAGACAACAAAUGUAUGGUUAAUGUAACCUGGAAGAAGUAAUUAUGACAGCAUUUGUGUUCCCCUCAGUUUGAUUUCCUCUUAGUCCAAACAGUCUGUAAAGGUGGCUCUGAAUGAUCAUACUAAAUAACUGCUACAACUCAGCACAUCCCAAUCAAUUGCUGUGCAGAUGGUGACUCUCAAAAUCCCCUAAAACCUCUCUGCAAUCCGACAACAACUCCUUCCUCUCAUUUCAGAAUUGGACACAGAAACAAGAAGAGUCUUUAGUACUCUAUAUGGAGAUGAAGGACAGAAUGAUGAUCGCCACUCUACUGCUCUUCCUCCUGGUCGCCGUGCCAAGCUUUUCCAGAGGUUCUUUCUCUAGGGUGGUAUUUGCAGGGAGAUUGGAUGUGAAAAAUAAGGAUUCUGAGGUUUAUGUAAUUGACUACAGAGGUCCAGAGACUCACACCUACAUUCCACCACCAAAUCGUCGGACAAACAUGUCCCCUCAUCACAACCCCAAAAGAAAUGGGAAGAAAAUUCCAGGAUGAUGCAAUGGAGAGUGAAGCAGCAGGAUGAGUUGAUAUUCAUAUUUGUCAUUAUGAUUGUGGUGUGAUUUUGCUUCCAAGCCAUUAUACAGUGUAUUGUAAUGAAUGAACAUCCAAUUUGCUUUGCUUUUUAUGGAAAAUUCUAACCCAAAUCAUGUUAGUUGAAUUUGGGCCUACAGUUCAGAAAAAAAAACCAUAACCGGUGUAUUUUACUUGCUCCAAACUUGAUUUGAGUAAGAAUUUUUCUAGCUUUUAUUGUGGGCUGACAGGAUGGGUUUUUUCUUUCUUUUUUUAUUUUUUGACAUUUGUAGUUAUGAUGUUGAUAAUUACUUCAAUUAUUGGAAAUUUCCAUUCAAAUUAGGUUU